AAUAUGUUUUAUUUUAGCUUAUAAAUUUAUUAUAAAUUUAAUUUACAUGUAAUUUUUAGAAUGAAUAUAAUAUUAAUUAAAAAUUAAUAUUAAAUUUAUAUUAUUCGCAGUAAUUAAUUUUAAAAAUAAAAGAAAUUUUGAUUUAGUAAUAUUUAUAAUAUAGGUAAAUUUUGUGCCAGCUACUGCGGUUAUACAAAAUAUAUAAAUAAAUAAUAUUAGCAUUAAUUAAAUAAUUAGUAAUAUAUAAUUUUAAUUUAAUUUUUUAAGUGAAAUUUUAAAAUUAAUAAAAUUUAUAUAAAAUAAAAAUUUAAGUUAGGAAAAUUUUUUAAUAAACUAGGAUUAGAUACCCUAUUAUAAAAAUAGUAAUUAAUUGGCUUGAGUAGUAAAAGUUAUAUUCUUAAAACUUAAAAAAUUUGGCGGUAUUUUAGUCUAUUCAGAGGAAUCUGUUCUGUAAUUGAUAAUCCACAUUGAACCUUACUUAUUUUAUUAAUAUGUAUAUCGCCGUCAUAAGAAUAUAUUGUGAAAUUAAUAAUUUUCUAUAAUUAAAAUUAUAAUUUAUGUCAGGUCAAGGUGCAGUUUAUAUUUAAGUAGAAAUGGAUUACAAUAAAAUUAUUUAUAUGGAUUUUUAAAUUAAAAUUUAAAAUGAAAGUGGAUUUGAUAGUAAAAUUAUAAAGAUUAAUAUUUUGAUUUUAGCUCUAAAAUAUGCACAUAUCGCCCGUCGCUCUCAUUAUAAGAUGAGAUAAGUCGUAACAUAGUAGAUGUAUUGGAAAAUGUAUCUAGAAAGU
rnacentral:rRNA from 1 species